rnacentral:lncRNA from 1 species
UUUUUGAUACUCUUGGUCAUUCUGAACAUAUUUUAUCAUUUUGUAAUAGAAAAAGUAGUAAACUAAAAUUUUAAAAUAUAAAAAAUAUGAAAAGCAUUGUAAACAUAAGUUGACUAUUUUAUAUGUUUAAAAUUCUUUUAAAAAAUAGGAAAUCAUAUUUUAUUUUAUGUCCUAGCUAUAGAAUACUCAUUUUGGCUAUCUACUUAUCCAGAGUUUGGGUAGUAAGUAUUUUCCAUUUUUGGACCACUCCUUUUAUUUUUGUUUUUCUGUUUUCUUUUUUGAAGAAUUGGAAAAAAUGGACACUUUCAAUUUUAUUUUGUCCCAAUAGGAUUUUUGAUACCCUUGGUCAUUUUGAACAGA